GGUGGGGUCAGGGAGCCCCCCAGGUGUCACAAGGAGCCCCUCAGGUGUCACAGGUGGGGUCAGGGAGCCCCUCAGGUGUCACAGGUAAGGCCAAGGAGCCCCUCAGGUGUCACAGGUGAGGUCAAGGAACCCCUCAGGUGUCACAGGUGAGGUCAGGGAGCCCCUCAGGUGUCACAGGUGGGGUCAGGGAGCCCCUCAGGUGUCACAGGUGAGGUCAGGGAACCCCUCAGGUGUCACAAGGAGCCCCUCAGGUGUCACAGGUGGGGUCAGGGAACCCCUCAGGUGUCAC